rnacentral:misc_RNA from 1 species
AAGUCGUAACAAGGUUUCCGUAGGUGAACCUGCGGAAGGAUCAUUAUUGAAUGAAAUUGAGUGGGGUUGUAGCUGGCCUUUCAUCAGGCAUGUGCACACCUCAUUCAACCUAUUUCUCACACCUCUGUGCACUUCUCAUGGGUCGGGUUGCGUCUGAAACAUUGACAAGAUCCUUCUCAUGUGCUUUUAUACACACUAUUAUUUUUUAGAAUGUCAUUACAAUGCAUAAAUGCAUAUAAUACAACUUUCAGCAACGGAUCUCUUGGCUCUC